GAUGAACGCUGGCGCCGUGCUUAACACAUGCCAGUCGAACGAAGCAUUUAAGCUUGCUUCUUAGCUUCACGACUUUUGUGACUUAUUGGACGACGGGUAAGUCACGCGUGGGUAACCUGCAUACCACAGAGGGAUACACGCUAGAAGUGUCUCUUAUUCAGGCAUAUCCCUCUUGGAUCGCAUCAUCCUGACGGAAAAGAUUUAUCUGUGUGAGAUGGACCCGACUCUGUUUAGCUAGUGGGAGAGGUAACGGCCCACCAAGGCGACGGUCAGUAGCCGGCCUGAGAGAGUGAGCAGCUACAUUGGGACUGAGACACGGCCCAAACUCCUACGGGAGGCAGCAGUGGGGAAUAUUGCACAAUGGGGGAAACCCUGAUGGAGCGACGCCGCGGGAGUGAAGAAGUAUUGCGGUAUGUAAAGCGCGAGCAGCAGGGAAGAAAAUGACGGUACCGGACUAAGAAGCCCCGGCUAACUACGUG
rnacentral:rRNA from 1 species